AAAUUUUUAGGUUAAACAAACCCUUGGUCUUCAAAACCAAAAUUGACACCAAAAUUUA
rnacentral:tRNA from 1 species